GCGUAGGUGAUGGACAACAGGUUGAUAUUCCUGUACUACCGAUAACCGUUUGAGAGAAGGGAUGACACAGUAGGAUAAGCUAAGCAAACUGUUGGUUAUGUGUGCCCAAGCAUUGAGGCAGUCAAAGUAGGCAAAUCCGCUUUGAUAAUGCUGGGAUGUGAUGGGGAGCGAAAUUUAGUAGCGAAGUAGCUGAUUUCACACUGUCAAGAAAAGU
rnacentral:rRNA from 1 species